rnacentral:rRNA from 1 species
UAAAACGUAGGAGGCAAGCGUUAUCCGGAGUUACUGGGCGUAAAGCGCAUGUAGGCGGUUGGACAAGUGGUGUGUGAAAGCUCCCGGCUAAACUGGGAGAGGACACAUCAGACUGUUCGGCUAGAGGAUGCUAGAGGGGCGCAGAAUUCGGGGUGUAGCGGUGAAAUGUGUAGAGAUCCCGAGGAAUACCAGUGGUGAAGACGGCGCCCUGGGGCAUUACUGACGCUGAGAUGCGAAAGCGUGGGGAGCGAACGGGAUUAGAGACCCCGGUAGUCCACGCCGUAAACGAUGUGAACUGGGUGCCCACUACCUUCGGGUAGGGGGUGCCGAAGCUAACGCGCUAAGUUCACCGCCUGGGGAGUACGGUCGCAAGGCUA